UUUUUUUUUUUUUUUUUUUUUUUUUUUCAAAGGGUGACUUUCUUCUUUCCUUUUCUUUUUUUGGAGAAAGUAUCCCAGACAUUACUUCCUUACUUUGUGUGCCUUUAGGUCAUUAGAGAUCUGACCACUUUCUUUAGUAGCACUAAGGACAUAGAAGUUUAUUAGCAGACUAAUAGACAAGAGUCAUUUAUUUUAUUCAGAGAAUGGAUUUGUUUACAGUAAAAUAUUCCAAGUUUUCAUUUAAGUUAGUGGUUCCGUUCUAGUGAUAAGAUGAAUGAUGUAGUCUACUUUUGUGAUAAUUGGCUCCCUCUCCUCCCCACUCUCCCAAAAUAAGAAGAGUUUAGAUGGAAAUGCUUCCCAGGAGGCAGAAGACAGUGGCCCCAAGGUAAAAGCAAUUUAAGCUUUCAUCUCAGGCUCGCUCCCUUAGCUGUUCAUUCAUUUUGUGGCUUGAAUGGAGAAUGCGUUGCCUGGAUUUGCGAAAUAUAUGGAAAAUAAUUCUACCUCCAGUUCAUUGUCCUCUUGGCUAUUUUUCUCAUUUUGAAGCUGCAUGGAACUAUUCUGGGCCUUCCCACUACACUUAACAUUGCUUUAAAACAGAUUUAAGUCUCCCUACAAGACAGAAUUUCCAAUUCUCCAUCCAACAGAGCAGCGCGCUAUUAAAGAUCUACCAGGUGUUUCAAUAUGCACACAUUUAUCUGACUCUUCCUUUAGUUAGAAAUAAUAGAAAAUGAAAUCAGAGAUUUAUGGGUAUAGCGUGAGUUGAUGAAAAUACUGGUAUGAAGGCAGUUUUAUGACUACUUGGGCAAAGAUACAAAUGAGAUCCAAAAUAUUUUUAAAUGUAAAUGUAUAUUCCCUCUUUGGAUACCUUUUUGAUAUGCAUGGUUUCAUAUUUUGGAGACAACUGCAAAUCCCCUAAAACCACAUCAGUUAGGAAAAGACAGGAAGAGUGAUCUGUGAGUUACUGUUUAUGGUUUGUUAAUUUUGUGGCUGUGUGGCAAGUUGUUGAAAGCAAAAAACCAGGUCCCUGUUGCCAUCACUGAUACUGUUGUGAUGCCUGCCUAGUUUCUAUAAAUAGAUGUGUGCUCACCAAGUGUCAAUGAAUCAAAAAAAUAGCUGAAAAUCAUGGUGGGAAAUAAAAUUCUCUUAUCUCCCUCCAGCUUUGGGGGACCUUACGGCCCAAAUAAAAUGGAUUAGUUUUUUGAAAUCUCAUCAUAAAACCUAAAGUUUGGUAUACAGUAGACCCUCAGCAAAAAUUUGCAAAAUGGACAUGAAUUUACUUAAUUAUAAAGGAUUUUCAAGUCAUAGUAUAUCUGCUGCUUUUGGUUUAUCCAGAUAAUUAGUAGUUAGGUGCAACCAUGUGCCUAAACAUGUGAUUGUUUUGUUUUGGGGCAGGGGUCAGCAGACAUAAGUAAGACGGUGUACCGUAUUUAAGGAGCCCAGACUUGAGGCCAGGGUCCAGAGGUUUUGUAAAACUGUAUCAGGUCAGCAAAGUCUGGAGAAGUUCAGGGAAAACCCAAGCACAAAACCCAUCAUGGUGGAUGCAGUGCCACUCCCAGGAAUCCAGAAAUCCAUUGCUUAAAUCACACUGCUAUCGAGGGAGCACAAAUCUAGGAGCUAAGUUUGUUUUUUGUUUGUGAGAGGGAAUAGAGCACAGAUGGGCCAUUCCGUAGAUUUACGAUGCAGCCAAUUAGACAUUUAAAAGGUUAGAGACAGAAUGUUUUGAAGAGAAAUCAACUGUGGUUUAAAUGUGCCUCAUUUCGGUAUGGGCUCUCCUGGCCCGAAGCUCAGGGAGCAGUCUGUUUCUCACUUACCCAGGUAACUGUUUUUGUGCAGUGCAGAUUUGGGCUAUCACAGGAUCUUUAUGAGUCCUGAUGAAGUCCUCUCACCUCGACUGGAGAUGCAUCACAAUUCUUACACCAUUUAACUCUUCCUCUCCUCUGCUUUGCAGGGGGGCUCCCCAACCCUGCUCUCCCUGCCAAUGCAACAAUGACUUGGGUGACUUUCUGUCUGUUCUCCUUCAUUCCCCCUUGGAAUAUCAUUUUUGAGAUUUGAAUGGAAGCAUUAUGGAGGGCCUUGGACUAUCUUUCACAUGAUUUCAGCAGGGAAAUCCAAACCCCAUCUGGUUGUGAAGAAUAGAGAGGAAAGGGAGUUCUAAAAGCUAGGUUGUGGACUGAACAUUUUGUAGCCAACAGAUCAUUUGCUGUCCUUCCCCAUUUCUCAUCAUCUGGCUGCUGCUCUGGCCUCUUUAAGACCUAUUCCUCCUCCCUGACAACAUCUUCCCAGACCUGUCUAAUCCUGGAGCCAGCCUUUCUGGAUCUGAACCCUCGGACCUACCCGUUCCUGGCUGUGUGAUCUUGGGCAGUUACUUCACCUCUCUGUGCUUCUGUUUGCUUAUUUGUAAAAUAAGCAAAUAUAAGGGAGUAAUAAUAGUACCUAUUUCUCAGGGUUGUGCAAGAUCGAAAUGAGGGACUGUAUACAGAGUGCUUAAAAAUGACACAUAGUGCAUCCCACCAGUUUGCUCUUGCUAGUUUAUUCACUGGACCAUGAUUUUCAGCUAUUUAUUGAACUUCCCAUCAAAUCCUUUGAGAAGAAGAAUCGACGUCUAAAAUCUCUGUUCAGGUUUUUCUCCCUCCCUUGUUUUAUGUGUCAAAUAAAUACAUUGGUUCUUCUCCCUCUCAGACUAUUAGGAUUGUCUCCUUUUUCACUAUCCAUCAUCUGAACGAAGGCUUUUCUCAAAGGUCUGCACCCAGAUUUCAUGCCUCCUCCUCAACUUGGGGAUUUUAUUUGUUUCCAUGGCUACAAAUAUCACCAUCAUGCCAGCAACUUCCACGUCUUGGUUUUUAUCCAAAUUAUCUCUUUUAGAAAUAUUAUAAGCAAAAAAAAAUAUAUCCUUUCAAUCCUUUCAAUUAAAAGAACACAAAGUGGAAUGGCAAUUGCACAUGUUAGGAACAGUGCCCGGGUCUUCGGAACGACUUCAGAGAUACACCAGGCUCCCAGGAAGAAGCGUUAAAAAUAGAUUUUGGUAAUUGACUCCCUAUGAAUGCCAAUUGAGAACAUAACUUUUAAAUGAAGGCUUACUAUGCAAAAUCCUGUAUCUUCACAUCAUAAACCAGUUUCCCCUGCCCUCGCAACCCCCUCCUGGGCUGAGAGACUUAGUCUGCAUUUUCCUGAUGAUAGAGUUGCCAGUGUUCAUGAGCCCCCACCAAUUAGCUGGUAAAAACUGUUUAGGAUUUAAUAGCGUGUUUAGGCAGGAGGUCAGCAUUAAGGUAUUCAAGUAAGAGGGACAGAAAAUAAACAAUAAAGACAGCAGAAAAAAAAUUAAAAACAUGUCACAGGUGGGUUUGGCAGCAAAGGGCAUAGUGAUAAUCUUGUCACCCUUUCCAGGCAUGUUUUCUACCCCCACCCCUUCGCAUGCCUUACCAGCCUCAAAGCUAAUGCUUCUCCUGCUGUCAGCAUCCUAUAGUUUUAUAGACUUGAUGGGCAUACUUCGUAUCAACCAGGAUUCAGAAACAGAAUAAAUCCUUUACAGUCUAUUGCUGGUAAACCUAAAGAUGGAUUGCUAAUAGUUAUUGAGGACAUAUUCUGAGCUGAGCAUGGUACUAAGUGCUUUUAAUGUAUCUUCCUCAUUUAAUCUCAGUAAUGCCGGAGGGAUAGACUACUUUUAUCUCCAUUUUAUAGGUAAGGAACUUGAAUCUCAGGGAAGUUAAGAGCCUGUGACAAGCUCUGGUCACAGUUUAUAAGAGGUGGAGCCAAAACUGAAGUCUUCAUCAAAAGCCAUUGUUCUGAAUGACUUCUUUACAUUGUUGCCUCAGUCUGUUGGGGCUGCUGUGGCAAAAAUACCAUAGACCGAGCAUCUUAUGAACAACAGAAUUUUUUUUGCUAGUAGUUCUGGAGGCUAGAAGUUCAAGAUUAGCGUACUGGCAAGUCAGGUUCUGCUGAGAGUCCUCUUCUGGACUGCAGAUGACCAAUUUCUCUGUAAGCUCACACGGAAGGGUUGAGCUAGCUCUCUGGGGCCUCUAUCAUAAGGGCACUAAGCCCACCAGUAAGUAGGGCUGUUCUCUCAGGACCUACUCCCUUCUCAACGGCGGUCCCUCCUCAUACACUGGGGGUUAGGAUUUCAACAUAAUGCAUUCUAGGGUUACACAAAUAUUCAGACCAUAGCAACUUUAUUUCAAUUUAUAUUAGUUAAUGGUUUUCAUCAAUACCUUGCAAACCAGGCCCCAAAAAUGAGCAUAAGGACGGAAGAGAAGCAAAAUGCUGAAUUCUGCACAAAUUAGCCCCCCAGACCUUGAUUUUCAAAAAUUGCCAAAAGUUGUCAAGAUCCCACAGAUUACUCAGAACGCCUAUGUUCUUCAGGGUCAGUGAGUGCUUCAUCUAAACAGUGUGCUCUGAAUAUCCAUACGCAUUUACGAUAGUUUACCAGGUAGGGACACCCCCACCACAGUAUGCAUGUAACUGGAACGAGGUGGCCUCUGAGCAGCAUGCCAUCAAGUCGGAGACCGGGGCGCCCUUCUCUACACCCCAACAACAUGAGUGAGGCAUUUGCUGCAGUACUUCUGUUUCACAUUUUGAUAUUAAUUAUCACAGCUGUCCAACAAGAGUCAUUAUCUUUGUGCAUAACCCAUUGUCAAGUCCCUGAAGAACUAUGGGAAAAGUAAAAAAUAAAAUAAAAUAAAUAAAAAUAAAAAGCUCCUUGAAAGAAUGAUGACUGACAUAAAUCUAUAAAGGACCUUUUCUGAGGAAGGGCUGAGGCUACAUGUCAUAAAUAUGUUCAUAUUUUAUUCAAGCCUAUCUGAGGUUCCAGAACACAAUCUUUGGCCACAUCAAUAUCUCAUACUAAAUACUCAGGUGGAAUAUAUGAUUCAAAAUUAAGUGCUCUGGAAGUGCUCCAUUCAUUAGGAUCCCUACUCUCUCUGGACUCAUGGUUUCUAUCAGCUUAAGAGAAAGUAUUAUUUGAAAUGCUUUUUUAGUCCAGGCACCAAGGGGUUCCCUCUUAACUAGAAAGAACUAUUUUGAUAAAUGAUAUCCCCUCUGCACAAAAAAGGUAGUCUCCCUAGACUAGAUUCAUUAGAAUUAAGGGCUCACGCCUGGAUUUUAUUGAGAAGUAAUAUUUAUGUGUUAAUCUUGGACACCAUUUUCCUCUGGAACGCACUGGGGAAUAUUUAAAAGAAGAUGUUUAAUUGGACAAAUGUGUUGCUUUAUCUAUAGUCAAGUGUCAGGGUCAUUAGAACAAGCACUUGAAAAAGAUUGGAAAACGUUGCACAUUGUGGUAGAAGAGGCCUAAGGAUCAGGGCACUUGAAAUGUGAUUUUUGCUAAUGUUGCUGCACUUCAUUGCAUUCAUUUAUCCAAUCUUACCAUUAACUUGGAAUCAACUACAGGGAUUUUUUUAGAGGACUGUGUAUCACACACUGGUCCUUUAAAGUUAAUUAUAAUUACUAUGUAAUAUCAAAAGGUUAUUACACAGAAUGUUCUCUUGGUCAUUAGAGUUGAUUUGGUCUAUGUCACAUUUGUGCCCGCCUGGGAAGGAUUUAGAAAUGUGGUUUAUCAUCAUUAGUUAACAAGCCCAAAGCUUUGAGUACUCAUUGCGCAGCUAGUGGUGUUUACUUUCUACCAUAUUUUGGCAUAUGAGAUAAAAAGAAGUGACCUUGCUGAGGCUUAUUUUAAAACAUUCCCAUUGUUCAGAAUGGUAUUUCCAAAUGUACCACCAUUCAGAGUUCAAUGUGGAUGAUUACAAGUCGCUGAAUUUAGACAAAUUCUCUGACUCAUUGGGUCCCUCAUGGUCUUAGAUCAAAACAUCUAUCUCCUUCUCAAAUUUAAAUUACUAGAGACAUGUCUCUUUCUAUCUUGGAUUAACACACUCAAGUAACUCAGAGUUGAUUUGCGGGUGGGAAGGGGCUUAAGUUGUACAGAUGUCUGAGAAGAGUUGGUCUGGUGUAUGAACUUGGAGGAACAGUUGUAUUUUCUCAUGGGCUGAGGAGGAGGGGACACCAGUGGGAGGGAUCCAAGAGAAGUUAGGGAGCUGGGAUCACAGUGAGGCUAAAACCCCUCAUCUCCGAGUCCCUGGCCCCCUCCACAUCUUUCAGUGCUGAAUUUCAUCUCAGAGAGGAAAAAAGAUGGGAAAUCCUCAAGGGGAGGAAUUUGAAAGGACAACGGAGACCAUGGCUUUUGUGUCCUCUGAGAACCGGGAAAAAGAAUAAGCUAAUGGAAGGCACGUAAGUGGAGGUGCUGAGCAGGAGCCCAGCACCUGGGCACAUCAAUCAAGCUAUUUGAAGCAAGAAUUGGUGAAGUGGCUGAUGGGACUUAAGCCCCAUCCUCUAUGUUUCUAUUUGCUCCAUAAUGCAGAACUGUCUGAUGCUAGUGGGACACCUACACUUUUUGCAGUAGCAACUGGGUCUCCUGCACAGAUUGUUGCCCACCCACCACAGUGAAGCAGACCCAAGCCUCACGCACACAAUGUUCCCUGAAAGGACACUGAGCCACAUGUACAAAUCGAAGACAAAGGCAGAGAGUGGGUGGGCUGCCCUGGAACGAUAAUCUAAACCCAGGAAAGUGAAAACUAAGUUUCUUAAAUGUCCGUUUCAAAGCAAACUUUGCAUGAAGACUUAAAUUUGGUCGUUUUAGGGGUUUUAUUUAUUUUUAUUUUUAUUUUUUUUAGCAGGUAGAAGUCAGAAUUCCUUUCCAAAUUCCCAAAUUCCUUGCUUCUUCACUCAGCUUGAUCCUUUUAGCCUCAGUACCUAUCCCACCAAAAUGGAGCAAUGCAAUGGUUUUUCACAAACUACUUUGAGCAAGUCAUUAUCAAAUCUCUCGAUCAUUCCAGCUAACAUCAUGGUGGAAUUGUGCAUUCCUUGUAUACCCUUGUCUUGACCUGGUUCCUGCACCACACUUGAGAAUGAGGACUCAGUUACCUGCUGAUUUUUACGCCCCCUUCUAUUCCCUUUCUAUGUCUAUGGUGUUAGCUUUGAGUCCUCAGAUCUUUAGACUUUCCAUGGAUAGUCUUUAAAAGGCUUAUGCAAGUCCCAAGGUCUUAUGGAUAAUUGUGUGUAAAUGUGAAUUUUCAUUGUAAGAUAGUUUAUGGUUUUCAUCCAUUCAAGAACUAAUGACCUAGUAGUUAAGUACUUU
rnacentral:lncRNA from 1 species